CGGUCCUCGGGCUUGCGAAGUGUCAGAUCUGACUCAGUCCCAGGGUCUUGGCGCGGCUGAACGCCUCUAGGGUGGCAGAGGCCCUUUUCUUUUCACGUCGCGCCACACCACAAGAUAGCCAGUGCCUCCCUACGGCGGCUGCCUGGCUCUGCUACACAAGGUGACUGCGUAUGACCUUGUGUGGUCCUCUACCCUGGAAUCCACACUGGACCCUUGACUUCUCUGAGCCAGCAGAAGAAUGUAGUGAAGAGAUAAUGGGUCAGUUCCAGCUCUGACCUUAACUUUAUGUUGUUUGGGUUGGGUUUUAUGUUUUUUGUUUUCUGGAGAUGCUCCUGCUCUUCCAGCUGGGAAAGAUUCACGCAGAGGACAGGAGGAGAGGAAAUGCCCCAGGCAUUUGAACCUUGUGAGCCCUUCCUAACUGGAAGGUCAGUCAUUGCAUGAAGAAGCCAUCUGGGUUGUUUUAGCCAUCUGUAUUAGUCAGGGUUGUCUAAAGGAACAGAACGGACAGAAUGAAUAUAUCUAUAUACACGUUAUAUUAUAUUAUAUAUUGGGUUGAUUAGGUUGGCUUACAGGAUGCAGUCCUAGGAGUCAAUAGUAGUUGUCUCACACUAAAGAAGAUGAAAGUCUGGUAGUUGUUCGAUUCACAAGCCUGGACUCAGCAGUCCUAAUUUGGUGCUGGAGUCCUGGAGGACUCUUUGGGAGCUGCUGGUCUUCAGUCUACACUGGAAUUCUAAAGAACUCGGUUCUAAUAUUGGUAAGUUGAUGCCUCAGGAACAGGGUAGAUGAACUUGCCGCCAAAAGUGAGGGCAAGCAGGCAAAAGCAAAGUUUCCCUCUUCUGUGUCCUGUUAUCUCAGCUGCCAUGAGAGGCGCUGCCCAGAUUUAGGGUGAGUCUUUUUGCUUCCAAUAAUAUGAUUAAGACAGUUCUUCACUGCUGGGUGGUGGUGGCACACACCUUUAAUCCCAGCACUAGGGAGGCAAAGGCAGAUGGAUCUCUGUGAGUGUAAGUCCAGCAUGGUCUAAAGAGUGAGUUCCUGGACAGUAAGGGCUACAUAGAGAAACCCACUGUCUUUAACAACAACAACAACAACAAAAAGUUCUAGUUGAUUCCAGAUGCAGUCCAGUUGACGAGAUUAUUCAUUGUGCCUACAUUAUCUAAAAUAGGAACAAAUCUGGCAGGAAGUGGUGGUGCAUGCCUUUAAUCCCAGAUACAUCUCUGUGAGUUUGAGGCCAGCCUGGUCUACAGAGCAAGUUCCAGGAUAGAUAGAUACAUAGAUGGAUAAAAUAGGAACAAAUCUCUCCUACUAUGUCUAAUCCAGUGAUAAACCCUUUGCUAUUUCAAGCCAGAACUUUGCCUCUUAACUCUUGGACUGUGCAGAAUAUACCUGUGCAGAUACUUCGCAGUUUGAACAUCUGUUUCUGGGAAGGAAAGAAAACCUCAAAUGCACCUAUGGGAGCUUUCUGAUUAUCCUGAGGGUACAGGAGUCUAAGAACAUCUUCUCAGACCUGCCCCAGUGUCAGGCUCAGGUCCUGACCUUCCCCCUCUGGUGGAGCUGAAGCACACAGCAGCCUCACUCCAGCUCCAAACACUCAAGCACUGGCUCCUGCCUGUGGACCGGGAAGUAAGCACUUAGCUUCUGCUCCAGUACCACCUCUGCCUGCCUGCCACCACACUUCCUGCCAUGAUGAUCACGGAUUCACCCUCUGAAACUGUAAUUAAGCCCCAAUUAAAUGCUUGC